GUGUUUGCUUUAGCAACACAUAUACUAAAAUUGGAAUAAUACAGAGAUUAACAUGGUCCCUGCACAAGGAUGAUACUUAAAUUUGUGAAGCACUCCAUAGUUUU
ensembl:snRNA U6 U6 spliceosomal RNA